AGAGAGAAAACACUGCAUGUUCUCUAAAGAGCUAUGUGCCUAUUUUCUUACUCUCUCUGCAGCACCUUUCUUCUGAUCCAAUUCUGAACUGUAAAACCAUCAAAGCUAAGAACAGCCAAUGGUCUGAGAAUGCUUCACCAUGUCUUCAUCUCUGUGACAAUUAUAGACAAACAUCAUCUCAUUAAAGUAAGAUCACACGGAUGGUUUUACUUUUCAUGUGUGAGAACUCGCUCACAGCGGAGGAUGGACAAAGUCAUUGAGAUUCAGUUCCAACAACUGAGUGUGGCCUUUAAAGCCUGAUUUUCUUGGAGUUCCUGGGCUGGCUGAUCCCUCUGGAUCCACCCCUGGAUGAAGUUUCACCUGGUUUCCUCCUUCCUACCUGUCGUCAUUGCCAAUAUGCUCUCUUGGAAAUCUUGCCUCCUUGGAAACACACUUGUCAGCUGCCUGUGGAAACCUCCAGCUCAUCACCCACUCUCUGUAACGUGUCAAGAAGAAGGAGGACUCACCUGAUCACCAGCCUGCCCACCCUCUGCCUGUUGCUAGCUUUUGGCUUGCCACCUGCCACCCACAGACGCCCUCCAUGACUUCAUUCAUAGCUCCUCUCCACUAGUUCUUCACAGUGAUCACAACAAGAGCGCAACAAGCUACCCUAAAACAAUCCAGUGGUAAAAGCAAUACACCUGCAAAUAUCAGGUGAAGGAUAAAAUGCUCUACAAAAAUUACCGAAGUGUCUGAAUGUUCCACCGCAGCUACGGGACGCUGUUCUGUGGGUAGACGAGCGAUAAGGAACGCUGUGUUCAGAGGAAGAUAGCACAGCACACCAACAUGAAAACCUCACUCUAGCUGUGAAGCACGGUGGAGGGAGCAUCAUGGUUUGUGGCUGCUUUGUUGCCCCAGGUUGAUGGAAAUCGUGCAUUCAUCGAGGCAACAAUGAAUUUUAAUUGCAUUAAGAAUUCUUCAUAAGAAUGUGAACAAAGUAUAAAGCUGUGGAGAGUUUUGGUGACAAUCACCCAAAGCAUGAAAAGUGGACCAACCACAGUAUGGCUGAUAAAGAAAAAAAGUAGCGCUAAACAGUGUUUUGGCAUUUCCAGCACAGACCUGACCUCAGCCCAGCGGUUCUCAAAGUUUGUCUGGCGUGCCCUACUUUAGACACUGAAAAUAGUUCACUCGCCACACACACUAACCCCACAGUAUUUUAUAAACCAUUAUCAAUUAAAUUAAAUUCCAAAAUGUUGAUUUUGUUCAUUUGGUACGUCCAGAUCAACAGAACCUUUUGGGAUUUCCUUACCUGAAUGAUUGAGUAUACAUUUGUGGUUAAUAUUUCCUCUUCACCUCUUUGUGGGUCACAUAAGCAUCUACAAGACACAUCCGAUGGAGGUUUUGCUGCUAAAGGAGGUGCAAGUAAGCAAACCUAGUGUAGUUUACUCGCUUUUGCCAGCCUGUUACGUGAGUGAUUAUAUAACAUGUUCAAGAUCUGAAUGGAUUAAUUUAGUCACUUUGUCCAUAUUUGCACCUUACGGCUAAUUGCAUUUUAAAUAACCAGUGUAUAAAUACUGGUAAUUCAAAAUCAGUUGCACUUUUUCUUGCAACUUUAUUUAGAAAAAUAGAAGUAUUGGAAGUAAAGACUGGGCUGAACAUGUCUGAGGCUAUUUUCUGUCAUGGUACCUGAUCUCAGCCUUACGAAGAAACCACAGACUGAGGUGUUGCUGUUUGGUCACCAUUUCCGUGGCAAGCAGACUUCUAGUUUUAGUUUUAGAAGCAGCAUUGUCACACCUGCAGCUUAAAUCAUAUCCUGCCAACACCAUGACACUGUAACCAUCAGUUUAAAACCAGGUUAAAACUUCCUCCCCAUUGUCGAUGUUGCUUAGUUUGUAAAAAACUACAGAACCAGAGAUUAUGCACAUUCUGAUACUUUCAGAUCAAUGCAUGCAAUCAUAAAUAAAAGCGACUUUGGGAGAUCCUUGAUGUUUAUCUACGGCUGUCAUCGGGUCUGAAAUGGGUCAUGCAAAAGUAUUUUGUUCUUAUUGAAUGCUUGCAUGUUAACACAUCUACAAGGCUAAAAAUAAACUGCACACGUUAGCUUGUGUUAGUAUUCACCUGAAAAUACCAGUGUGCAAAGUAAAGCCUUGAAAGCACGGUAGCAGAAUUUCAUUCAGUUUACAUCAUAACAAACUAUAUCUGGCAAUACAUUGGGGUAAUUUAAUGUGCACUGACAUGAGGCCACCUUAAAAAUAGACCUAUAAUGAUAAUUUCCAGUUCCAUAUUUUAUUCUCAGACUCUAAAAAAGGUUUCCAUGAAUCUUUAUUAAUCUUACAACCGUAUGCAAAUGUUUAAGUAUUAUUUAACCUGGUCAUGCUUUGGGCAAAUUCAUAUACUUAAUGACAAAAUGGUAUGAAUGAUUUCUUUCACUUUAAUAUGCACCCAUAUAGUAAAUGAGGACUUCAUAAAUUAACUUUCAUUAUAUUGCAUAUUUAUGUGCCUUUGCGAUUUACCUGUAUGACAGUACAUGACAACAACAUACACUUGACAAAAAUGCGUGGGCAUUAAGAGACAAUUUUUCAGGCUUGAGUUAAAUGUGUUAAGUACAUUUAUACAGCUUUAUGAAGCAUAGAGGUAGCUUCCGGCUCAAAAACAUGAAGGUGUGGAAGUGACUUAAACCUGCGUCCCAUCUGAAGGCCACUUGAUAGCAACAGCUGUGGUUGCAAAAGGACUUUCAGUCCUGUAGAGGUGUGUGGUAAACCAGCGUUCUGACUUGACCUCUGUGAACACUUAAUUGGUGAGUUUAUGGGCUCAGUUGCUUGUUUUGUUGUCUUUGUCAUACAUUAUUUAAAAAUGUAGAAUUAUAUGAUCAUAACAUGGUAGCUACAGUCACCUUGUGUACUGUCUAUGGCAGGGGUGUCAGAUAUUACGCCCUAAGCUCAAACAUAAGACUUACACUUUUCAUAGGUUUUACAUCUUUGCCUCUUAGUGAAGAGGUCCCCCAGGACCAUUCACACUACACCAAUGUAGUUAACUACUAUAGAAAUUUGUUUUAUUAUUACAGGACAGUCUGGGCAAUUAUAUAUUAAGAUAUUCCAGGGAUUAAAUAUGCCAUUACACUUCUUUACACCGAGACUGAAUGUGGCCUAUACUGUAAAAUGAGUUUGACAUCCUUGGUCUAUGAUCUGCUUUGGCUCCUCCUCUUCCUUUAAACCCACCUUUCUUGUCAUUGACUUCUUCGUGUAAACAGGAGGCUUAAGCAAUAUGAAGGUGGACCUUCGAUUUUCACAGCCAAUGCUGUGUGCCUGAUGUGACCCUAAUAAGCUCCUUUCUCUGACAUCAUACAGAGCCAGGAAAAAACUGUUAGAAAACACCCAUCACUGUAGUAGUGACAGAAACAGGGCAAGACCAUAUAUUUCAUGUUUAUAUAAUGUGUGCACUUUUUUAAAGUUUCUCAACAAGAUUUUUUAAUAUUUUGA